rnacentral:rRNA from 1 species
UGGGGAAUUUUGGACAAUGGGCGAAAGCCUGAUCCAGCCAUGCCGCGUGCAGGAUGAAGGCCUUCGGGUUGUAAACUGCUUUUGUACGGAACGAAAAGACUCUGGUUAAUACCUGGGGUCCAUGACGGUACCGUAAGAAUAAGCACCGGCUAACUACGUGCCAGCAGCCGCGGUAAUACGUAGGGUGCAAGCGUUAAUCGGAAUUACUGGGCGUAAAGCGUGCGCAGGCGGUUAUAUAAGACAGAUGUGAAAUCCCCGGGCUCAACCUGGGAACUGCAUUUGUGACUGUAUAGCUAGAGUACGGCAGAGGGGGAUGGAAUUCCGCGUGUAGCAGUGAAAUGCGUAGAUAUGCGGAGGAACACCGAUGGCGAAGGCAAUCCCCUGGGCCUGUACUGACGCUCAUGCACGAAAAGCGUGGGGAGCAAAACAGGAUUAGAUACCCUGGUAGUCCACGCCCUAAACGAUGUCAACUGGUUGUUGGGUCUUCACUGACUCAGUAACGAAGCUAACGCGUGAAGUUGACCGCCU